GUGGUGUAGUGGGGUGUGGAGGUGUGUAGUGGUGUGUGGAGGUGGUGUAGUGGGGUGUGGAGGCGUGUGGAGGUGUUGUAGUGGGGUGUGGAGGUGGUGUAGUGGUGUGUGGAGGCGUGUGGAGGGGUGUGGAGGUGGUGUAGUGGUGUGUGGAGGCGUGUGGAGGUGGUGUAGUGGUGUGUGGAGGUGGUGUAGUGGUGUGUGGUGGUGUGUGGAGGUGGUGUAGUGGUUUGUGGAGGCGUGUGGAGGUGGUGUAGUGGGGUGUGGAGGUGGUGUAGUGGUGUGUGGAGGUGUGUAGUGGUGUGUGGAGGCGUGUGGAGGUGGUGUAGUGGUGUGUGGAGGUGUGUAGUGGUGUGUGGAGGCGUGUAGUGGUGUGUGGAGGUGGUGUAGUGGGGUGUGGAGGUGGUGUAGUGGGGUGUGGAGGCGUGUGGAGGUGUUGUAGUGGGGUGUGGAGGUGUUGUAGUGGGGUGUGGAGGUGGUGUAGUGGUGUGUGGAGGCGUGUGGAGGGGUGUGGAGGUGGUGUAGUGGUGUGUGGAGGUGGUGUAGUGGUGUGUGGAGGUGUGUAGUGGUGUGUGGAGGUGGUGUAGUGGUGUGUGGAGGCGUG
ensembl:lncRNA